rnacentral:miRNA from 1 species
GGUUGUGAUCCCUGUAGGAGCUGCCGAAGGCUGCGAUCUCUUGAUCUUUAAAAGCAAGAUCAAAAGAUCGCAGCCUUCGGCAGCUCCUACAAGGUUA